AGCAGCGUGGCUUAGUGGAAAGAGCAUGGGCUUGGGAGUCAUUUGGUCUUGGGAUCUAAUCCCAGCUCUGCCA
rnacentral:tRNA from 1 species